GUUUCUCAUUGAUUUCUCAUAUUUUACACAGUUGUUUAUAAUGGUGUUGGGGGCGUGGGGCAAAGAGGACCUGCAAGAAGCAGAACCGCCAUUUCAGCAAAAGCUAAAAGUCCCCACGUAUACAUGUAGUUCACAAAGGAGUGCCUCAAGGGCGCCGUUUUCAAGACGAUGGUAUUGCUAGAUUAAAAAUCUAGGAAUACAUCAAUCCCUACUCAGCAGAAAUUUAUAAUGAUCCAACCGCAGGUUCACCUACGGUUA
rnacentral:misc_RNA from 1 species